CAGCCGCCGCGGGAAUACGAAGGGUGCAAGCGUUAAUCGGAAUUACUGGGCGUAAAGCGUGCGUAGGCGGUGAGUUAAGUCUGCUGUGAAAUCCCCGGGCUCAACCUGGGAAUGGCAGUGGAUACUGGCUCGCUAGAGUGUGUCAGAGGAUGGUGGAAUUCCCGGUGUAGCGGUGAAAUGCGUAGAGAUCGGGAGGAACAUCAGUGGCGAAGGCGGCCAUCUGGGACAACACUGACGCUGAGGCACGAAAGCGUGGGGAGCAAACAGGAUUAGAUACCCCCGUAGUCCCUGUCUCUUAUAA
rnacentral:rRNA from 1 species